AUUAAACGCUGGCGGCAUGCCUUACACAUGCAAGUCGAACGGCAGCACGGGGGGAACCCUGGUGGCGAGUGGCGAACGGGUGAGUAAAGCAUCGGAACGUGCCCUGGAGUGGGGGAUAACGUAGCGAAAGUUACGCUAAUACCGCAUAUUCUGUGAGCAGGAAAGCAGGGGAUCGCAAGACCUUGCGCUCUGGGAGCGGCCGAUGUCGGAUUAGCUAGUUGGUGGGGUAAAGGCCUACCAAGGCGACGAUCCGUAGCGGGUCUGAGAGGAUGAUCCGCCACACUGGGACUGAGACACGGCCCAGACUCCUACGGGAGGCAGCAGUGGGGAAUUUUUGGACAAUGGGCGAAAGCCUGAUCCAGCCAUGCCGCGUGAGUGAAGAAGGCCUCGGUUGUAAGACUCUUCGUGGAGAAU
rnacentral:rRNA from 1 species